rnacentral:rRNA from 1 species
GUACGGGAGGCAGCAGUGAGGAAUUUUCCACAAUGGGCGAAAGCCUGAUGGAGCAAUGCCGCGUGGAGGAUGACGGCCUUCGGGUUGUAAACUCCUUUUAUAUGUGAAGAUUAUGACGGUAACAUAUGAAUAAGCAUCGGCUAACUACGUGCCAGCAGCCGCGGUAAUACGUAGGAUGCAAGCGUUAUCCGGAAUUACUGGGCGUAAAGCGUGUGUAGGUGGUUUGUUAAGUUGAAUGUUAAAUCCACAGGCUUAACUUGUGGGCUGCAUUCAAUACUGGCAAACUUGAGGAUGGAAGAGGUAAGCGGAAUUAGUGGUGGAGCGGUGAAAUGCGUAGAUAUCACUAAGAACACCAAUGGCGAAGGCAGUUUACUGGGCCAUUCCUGACACUGAGACACGAAAGCGUGGGGAGCGAACAGGAUUAGAUACCCCAGUAGUCC